GAAAAAGCAGUUGCCUGCUUUUGCUCAUAAACAGGCAUCUCGUAAACUUUAGGAAUAUCAAUCAUGCUCAUUGUUAUUGGGUGAACCUUUGUAUAUUUUGUUCAUGACAUAAGGUUCAGUAAAUGAUGAGACAUUG
rfam:Musa acuminata subsp. malaccensis Doubled-haploid Pahang (DH-Pahang) genomic chromosome, chr4